CCUACGGGUGGCAGCAGUGAGGAAUAUUGGUCAAUGGACGAGAGACUGAACCAGCCAAGUCGCGUGAAGGAUGAAGGAACUAUGGUUUGUAAACUUCUUUUAUAUGGGAAUAAAGUGAGGAACGUGUCCCUUUUUGUAUGUACCUUAUGAAUAAGCAUCGGCUAACUCCGUGCCAGCAGCCGCGGUAAUACGGAGGAUGCGAGCGUUAUCCGGAUUUAUUGGGUUUAAAGGGUGCGUAGGUGGUUUGUUAAGUCAGCGGUGAAAGUUUGGGGCUCAACCAUAAAAUUGCCGUUGAAACUGGUAGUCUUGAGUAGAAUAGAGGUAGGCGGAAUGCGCGGUGUAGCGGUGAAAUGCAUAGAUAUCGCGCAGAACUCCGAUUGCGAAGGCAGCAUACCAACUUCUCACUGACACUGAGGCACGAAAGCGUGGGUAUCAAACAGGAUUAGAUACCCCAGUAGUC
rnacentral:rRNA from 1 species